rnacentral:misc_RNA from 1 species
GGGGGCGGCGGUGUUGUCUUGGUGCAACUUUAAACUUGACUCGCCACGUUUGUGGUUAUUUAAUUGUACAUUAGGUCAGUGUGAUUGAAACUUUGCUUUUGGUUUAGCAUUAGUAUCUCAUUUGAAAUGGCUGUCUUGGUUUUGCUGCCAUCCAUUAAUUGCCUAGGGUGCUCGUUUACUACUAUCCCUGUGCAUUAGGGAGUUGUAUGGAUGAUGAUUGUUUGUUAAUCUCAAGUUGCUCUUUGGAACGAUGUUGUAAA